rnacentral:rRNA from 1 species
UGGGGAAUAUUGCACAAUGGGCGCAAGCCUGAUGCAGCCAUGCCGCGUGUGUGAAGAAGGCCUUCGGGUUGUAAAGCACUUUCAGCGAGGAGGAAGGUGGUGAACUUAAUACGUUCAUCAAUUGACGUUACUCGCAGAAGAAGCACCGGCUAACUCCGUGCCAGCAGCCGCGGUAAUACGGAGGGUGCAAGCGUUAAUCGGAAUUACUGGGCGUAAAGCGCACGCAGGCGGUUUGUUAAGUCAGAUGUGAAAUCCCCGGGCUCAACCUGGGAACUGCAUUUGAAACUGGCAAGCUAGAGUCUCGUAGAGGGGGGUAGAAUUCCAGGUGUAGCGGUGAAAUGCGUAGAGAUCUGGAGGAAUACCGGUGGCGAAGGCGGCCCCCUGGACGAAGACUGACGCUCAGGUGCGAAAAGCGUGGGGAGCAAAACAGGAUUAGAUACCCUGGUAGUCCACGCUGUAAACGAUGUCGAUUUUGGAGGUUGUGCCCUUGAGGCGUGGCUUCCGGAGCUAACG